rnacentral:rRNA from 1 species
CCUACGGGGGGCUGCAGUGGGGAAUAUUGGACAAUGGGCGAAACCCUUAUCCAGCGACGCCGCGUGAGGGAAGAAGGUUUUAGGGUUUUAAACCUCUGUCAGUGGGGACGAUAAUGACGGUACCCACGGAGGAAGCCACGUCUAAAUACGUGCCAGCAGCCGCGGGUAUACGUCGGUGGCAAGCGUUGUCCGGAAUUACUGGGUGUAAAGGGAGCGUAGGCGGGAUGUCAAGUCAGAAGGUAAAAUUAUGGGCUCAAAUCAUAACCUGCUUUUGAAACUGAUAUUCUUGAGUGAAGUAGAGGCAAGCGGAAUGCCUGGUGUAGCGGUGAAAUGCGUAGAUAUUAGGAGGAACACCAGUGGCGAAGGCAGCGUGCUGGGCUUUUACUGACGCUGAGGCUCGAAAGCGUGGGGAGCAAACAGGAUUAGAUACCCUAGUAGUC